CGUGCACUGAAUCAGAUUUGUCAUGAAUCUGUCUAGAAACAGCUUCUUUAUAAUCUGACUGAGCUACGCUGAGGAUAACCGAAUACAAUACAUAGACGAAGGCAGACACAAAACCACAGGUUGCACAGAAGGUCCACAAAUUACUGGUAAUAUGGAAAAGAAGCCGUCAAAUCUAUAAAAAAAAAUCACUGCAGGAUUCAACCUAAUACCUGGGCACAAGUUAGUUGCUGAAGAUGAAAUGAUGAAGCAGCUUGUUCAAACAUUCAAAUCCAAUCUGUGGAUCCGGUGUCUAGUCAGGUCCUGUGGGUGGUUCCCAUCAUCCUACACUGACACUCCCACCUGCUCUUCUGCUUCAGCCUCACCAGACGUGUGGUUUCUAACAGAACAUGGCCAUCGCCAUGCGCCUCCUCCUCCUCCUGUCCACCGUUCUGUGUCGCACUGAUGGAAGCGACGUGGACCAGCCCGACGCGCUGCUGAAGGCCCAGGGAGACGAUGCAACCAUCCCCUGCAGCCACACGAAGGGUGCAACCUACUACCAGAUGUACUGGUACCGACAGCUGCCUGGAGAAACCAUGCGUCAAAUGCUGUUUGUGUUCGAAGGCAAAGAGCCUGAGUACGAAGCUGGAUUCAUCAAAGACAAAUACCCGGUGACCAAAGCCAACGCUCUGAGCGGGACACUGACUGUGGCGGCUGCAGAGCCGGGAGAUAACGGCUGGUAUUUCUGUGCUGUCAGUGAGCACAGUGACACAAUUACCUCAGCAGCUGAACAAAAAGUCAGAUGA